GUAAAAAUAAAUUCGUCUGUACUGUUAUAUAUCGUAUCGUCUGUAUCGUAUAUAAAUACAAACCACUUGUUUCUUUGUAAUUAUAAGUUAUUACCGUAAAUAACCGCUACAAUAUAUUGUUAGAUUUGUAAAAUCUCAAAGACUAAAGUGGCUUGGUCACUUAGAAAAAAUGCCAGAUAAUCGAGCUGUGAAAGUGAUCCAAAGAUGGAAGCCCCAAGGAAAUAGAACAAGAGGAAGGCCCCGUAAAAAAUGGAUAGACGACUUGGAGGGGAUCUUAAAACCAUUAACAUCAAGCAGUGGCGAAGGAAAGUAUCCGACAGAGCAGAAUGGAAGAACAGUGUUAAGCAGGCAGGCUAAUACUCACAAAGGGUUGUAGCGCCAUCAGAAGAAGAAGAGUCCAUUUGGGCAGACUCUGCCAAGAUUGCCAAAUUUGGUGUAGACUUCAUGCACCCCAAACAUAUCUUAAGUCCCUCAAAAAAUACUGCAUUGAGUUUGUUGUUGCAUUUUUGUGAUAUUGGGUUGAAUAGGAAGGAACCAUAAUCG
rnacentral:lncRNA from 1 species